rnacentral:lncRNA from 1 species
UGGGUUAUUUUGGGAUUUUUUUAAAGAAUCUGGAUUAUUUGGGUAGUAAAUAAUUUUUAUACCUUCCAUUUAAUUUUAUAAUAUUUAUUUAUAAGGUAAUGCAAGUUAUUUAAAUUUUCUAAAAUUCCACCAUGUUAUAUAACAUAUAUUGGGAAUAUUUAUUAUCAACAUUAAAUUAGAAACAAAUAUACAUAUUUCUAUUUUUUAUUCCACAACUUAACUGAAC